rnacentral:rRNA from 1 species
GACGUAGGGCGCGAGCGUUGUCCGGAUUUAUUGGGCGUAAAGAGCUCGUAGGCGGCUUGUCGCGUCGUCCGUGAAAACCCACAGCUCAACUGUGGGCUUGCGGUCGAUACGGGCAGGCUAGAGUUCGGUAGAGGAGUGUGGAAUUCCUGGUGUAGCGGUGAAAUGCGCAGAUAUCAGGAGGAACACCAAUGGCGAAGGCAGCACUCUGGGCCGGUACUGACGCUGAGGAGCGAAAGCAUGGGGAGCGAACAGG